rnacentral:rRNA from 1 species
UAGGGAAUCUUCGGCAAUGGACGAAAGUCUGACCGAGCAACGCCGCGUGAGUGAAGAAGGUUUUCGGAUCGUAAAACUCUGUUGUUAGAGAAGAACAAGGACGUUAGUAACUGAACGUCCCCUGACGGUAUCUAACCAGAAAGCCACGGCUAACUACGUGCCAGCAGCCGCGGUAAUACGUAGGUGGCAAGCGUUGUCCGGAUUUAUUGGGCGUAAAGCGAGCGCAGGCGGUUUCUUAAGUCUGAUGUGAAAGCCCCCGGCUCAACCGGGGAGGGUCAUUGGAAACUGGGAGACUUGAGUGCAGAAGAGGAGAGUGGAAUUCCAUGUGUAGCGGUGAAAUGCGUAGAUAUAUGGAGGAACACCAGUGGCGAAGGCGGCUCUCUGGUCUGUAACUGACGCUGAGGCUCGAAAGCGUGGGGAGCAAACAGA